rnacentral:rRNA from 1 species
GACGUAGGGCGCGAGCGUUGUCCGGAUUUAUUGGGCGUAAAGAGCUCGUAGGCGGCUUGUCGCGUCGAAUGUGAAAUCUCAGGGCUCAACUCUGACAUUGCAUUCGAUACGGGCAGGCUAGAGUUCGGUAGGGGAGACUGGAAUUCCUGGUGUAGCGGUGAAAUGCGCAGAGUAUCAGGAGGAACACCGGUGGCGAAGGCGGGUCUCUGGGCCGAUACUGACGCUGAGGAGCGAAAGCGUGGGGAGCGAACAGG